UACGUAGGGAGCAAGCGUUGUCCGGAAUCAUUGGGCGUAAAGCGCGUGUAGGCGGCCCGGUAAGUCCGCUGUGAAAGUCGAGGGCUCAACCCUCGAAAGCCGGUGGAUACUGUCGGGCUCGAGUGCGGGAGAGGCGAGUGGAAUUCCUGGUGUAGCGGUGAAAUGCGCAGAUAUCAGGAGGAACACCGAUUGCGAAGGCAGCUCGCUGGAACGUAACUGACGCUGAGACGCGAAAGCGUGGGGAGCAAACAGG
rnacentral:rRNA from 1 species